CAGCAGCCACGGGAAUACGGAGGGGGCUAGCGUUGUUCGGAAUUACUGGGCGUAAAGCGCACGUAGGCGGCUUGGUAAGUUAGAGGUGAAAGCCCGGAGCUCAACUCCGGAAUUGCCUUUAAGACUGCCGAGCUAGUAGGUGAGAGAGGUAAGUGGAAUUCCGAGUGUAGAGGUGAAAUUCGUAGAUAUUCGGAAGAACACCAGUGGCGAAGGCGGCUUACUGGCUCAUUCUAGACGCUGAGGUGCGAAAGCGUGGGGAGCAAACAGGAUUAGAUACCCCCGUAGUCCCUGUCUCUUAUAC
rnacentral:rRNA from 1 species